rnacentral:lncRNA from 1 species
CCGGAUGAUGCCGCCUCCAAACCCACCGCCGACGAAGAGAUGAGACGAAUAGGGUCGCGACCAAAAAUCUUGAUUCAAAAGAAAUCUGGAAAAACCCAUCAAAUUAAACAUAAAGCAUAAUUUUUUUUGGGGUGGGAAGGCAGGUGGUGCGGAGGUGGUGGUGAGGUGGUGGUGAUGCGGAUGGAAGAAUUUUGGGUUGGGGAUGAGAUGAUGGCCGUG